GAUGAACGCUGGCGGCGUGCCUAAUACAUGCAAGUAGAACGCUGAAGGAGGAGCUUGCUUCUCUGGAUGAGUUGCGAACGGGUGAGUAACGCGUAGGUAACCUGCCUGGUAGCGGGGGAUAACUAUUGGAAACGAUAGCUAAUACCGCAUAAGAGCAGUUGUUGCAUGACAGCUGUUUAAAAGGUGCAAUUGCACCACUACCAGAUGGACCUGCGUUGUAUUAGCUAGUUGGUGAGGUAACGGCUCACCAAGGCGACGAUACAUAGCCGACCUGAGAGGGUGAUCGGCCACACUGGGACUGAGACACGGCCCAGACUCCUACGGGAGGCAGCAGUAGGGAAUCUUCGGCAAUGGGGGCAACCCUGACCGAGCAACGCCGCGUGAGUGAAGAAGGUUUUCGGAUCGUAAAGCUCUGUUGUAAGAGAAGAACGAGUGUGAGAGUGGAAAGUUCACACUGUGACGGUAUCUUACCAGAAAGGGACGGCUAACUACGUGCCAGCAGCCGCGGUAAUACGUAGGUCCCGAGCGUUAUCCGGAUUUAUUGGGCGUAAAGCGAGCGCAGGCGGUUAGAUAAGUCUGAAGUUAAAGGCUGUGGCUUAACCAUAGUACGCUUUGGAAACUGUUUAACUUGAGUGCAAGAGGGGAGAGUGGAAUUCCAUGUGUAGCGGUGAAAUGCGUAGAUAUAUGGAGGAACACCGGUGGCGAAAGCGGCUCUCUGGCUUGUAACUGACGCUGAGGCUCGAAAGCGUGGGGAGCAAACAGG
rnacentral:rRNA from 1 species